AGAGCAGUCCAAACGAUCGCCGGGCAAACGAAAUCCGGAGGAAAGUCCGAACACCACAGGGCAGGGUGCUCCAUAACGUGGAGUCGCGGAAACGCGAAGGCCAGUGCAACAGAAAGUAUACCGCCUGCCGGGUCAGCCCGGCCGGUAAGGGUGAAACGGUGCGGUAAGAGCGCACCAGUUCCCCGGGUGACCGGGGAAGCUUUGUAAACCCCACCCGGUGCAAGACCAAAUAGGGAAGCGAUUGAGGAUGGCCCGUCCAAGCUUCCGGGUAGGUCGCAAGAGAUGUCGGGCAACCGGCAUCCAGAGAUGAAUGAUCGUUACCCGGCCCGGGGUAACCCGGCCCGGGCACAGAAUUCGGCUUACGGGCUGCUCUGACC
rnacentral:RNase_P_RNA from 1 species